rnacentral:rRNA from 1 species
CUCAACCUCGGAAUUGCAGUCGAUACUGCUGUGACUCGAGUCCGGUAGAGGAGAAUGGAAUUCCCGGUGUAGCGGUGAAAUGCGCAGAUAUCGGGAGGAACACCAGUAGCGAAGGCGGUUCUCUGGGCCGGCACUGACGCUGAGGAGCGAAAGCGUGGGGAGCAAACAGGAUUAGAUACCCUGGUAGUCCACGCCGUAAACGUUGGAUACUAGGUGUGGCGGUCUUACCAACGACUGCUGUGCCGAAGCUAACGCAUUAAGUAUCCCGCCUGGGGAGUACGGCCGCAAGGCUAAAACUCAAAGGAAUUGACGGGUCCCCGCACAAGCGGCGGAGCAUGCGGCUUAAUUCGAUGCAACCCGAAGAACCUUACCUGGGUUUGACAUCACGGGAAAAGCUGUAGAAAUACAGUGUCCAUUAGGGCCC